rnacentral:rRNA from 1 species
UACGUAGGGGGCAAGGCGUUGUCCGGAUUUAUUGGGCGUAAAGAGCGUGUAGGCGGCCGUACAGGUCAGCUGUGAAAACUCGAGGCUCAACCUCGAGACGUCGGUUGAAACCGUACGGCUAGAGUCCGGAAGAGGAGAGUGGAAUUCCCGGUGUAGCGGUGAAAUGCGCAGAUAUCGGGAAGAACACCCGUGGCGAAGGCGGCUCUCUGGGACGGUACUGACGCUGAGACGCGAAAGCGUGGGGAGCGAACAG